ensembl:misc_RNA
CUUCUCUGCUGGUCUCACCCGAUGGCCCUCCUCACGCACUUUGACUAUUGAUCGAGCGGAACAGGAGAGCCGAGGCCGUGCUUCCCAGGGGUUGAGGCCCAGGGGUCGAGGGAGCUGGAAGAAGAGCAGGCUGGGGCGAUGGUGUUGGGGAAAGGAGGCUGAUAAACUUUAGGAGAGGUGCGGGGCGUUGCUCUGUACUCCGGAGCCGUCC